GAGGGUAUAGCUCAGCAGGUAGAGUGCUAUACCUAGCAUGCACGAGGUCCUGGGUUCAAUCCCCAGUACUUCCA
rnacentral:tRNA from 1 species